GAUCCCGGCAACCGAAGAAAAGAAAGACCGCUCAGCGUUGGCUGCCCGGACCCGCGAGGAACCUCACUCGAGUGGGAAGCGGCUCCCGCUGCUCUAAAUCGGCUGAAGUGCUGCGAAUGUCCUCCUGUCCUACCCGGGCUGCAUCCUGACACCGAGUGGACUCCGCCCCCCGGAGUCCCAGCAUCCUGCACCUCCCGGGUGCAUCCUGCAUCGGGCAUCCUGCAUCGCAGGAGGCAUCCGGCCACAUUCCGCUCCUCGCCGGUUCUUCGCCUGCCCAGGCGGUCAGGCUCAGAGUGGACUGUGAGCUUUCAAAAAGGACCAAGAUGGAAGCCACCAACAAUGCGGCCAACAGAAUGAGCGUUGCUUUGUAGCUUGCACAAAGUCAAGCCAAUCAUAUUCCGAUAUUAUGUAAUAACAGCAGCCUGCCAACCUACUGCUUUGAUCUAGACAAGAGAGAGAAGCAUUUGUCUAUCAGCAGCCAUCUCUGUGUUGAAGAUUGCUCCCUUGAGAUGCCAACUCUACCAUCCC